rnacentral:miRNA from 2 species
AGGGUGUUUCUCUCAUCUCU